rnacentral:lncRNA from 1 species
CUUUUGCAGACAAUGUAGAACACACUUUCUUUGUUUCGUAUAAUUGUCGCAGCACCUAUCAUAUCACCCCUUAUUAAUAUGGAGACAAAGGGUCCAACUAAUGUUGUUGGUCCUGGUUUCCAGUGAUCUCACAGGCGAUUGCAACAUGGAGGUAGAGGAAGAGGUGAUGUUUCCUUGGUCAAUUAUCUUAUUGAAGGAAGAUAAAUAGACAAACUUUGGCCUUUUAGCCUGAGGAUGGAACUUAUCUUUUUUAUUGGGAUUUUGUUAAAAAUGAGGUCAUUUCUGGUUUUUCGAAUCAUCAAGAAAGUGCAAAAGAAGAUGUUA